AACGCGAAGAACCUUACCUACUCUUGAAUCCACGGAAUCCUGCAGAGAUGUGGGAGUGCCUUCGGGAACCGUGAGACAGGUGCUGCAUGGCUGUCGUCAGCUCGUGUCGUGAGAUGUUGGGUUAAGUCCCGUAACGAGCGCAACCCUUGUCCUUAGUUACCAACGAGUAAAGUCGGGGACUUUAAGGAGACUGCCGGUGAUAAACCGGAGGAAGGUGGGGAUGACGUCAAGUCCUCAUGGCCCAUACGAGUAGGGCUACACACGUGCUACAAUGGCCGGUACAAAGGGUAGCCAACCCGCGAGGGGGAGCUAAUCUCAUAAAGCCGGUCGUAGUCCGGAUUGGAGUCUGCAACUCGACUCCAUGAAGCUGGAAUCGCUAGUAAUCGCGGAUCAGAACGCCGCGGUGAAUACGUUCCCGGGCCUUGUACACACCGGCUAC
rnacentral:rRNA from 1 species